rnacentral:tRNA from 1 species
UCCUUCUUAGCUCAGUUGGUAGAGCGCGUCACUAGUACGUCUUACAAAUGACGAGGUCAGUCGUUCAAGUCGGCUAGAAGGAA